rnacentral:rRNA from 1 species
GCCUACGGGGGGCAGCAGUGGGGAAUAUUGCACAAUGGGGGAAACCCUGAUGCAGCAACGCCGCGUGAAGGAAGACGGUUUUCGGAUUGUAAACUUCUGUUCUUAGUGAAGAAUAAUGACGGUAGCUAGGGAGCAAGCCACGGCUAACUACGUGCCAGCAGCCGCGGUAAUACGUAGGUGGCAAGCGUUGUCCGGAAUUACUGGGUGUAAAGGGAGCGCAGGCGGGAAGCCAAGUCAGCUGUGAAAACUACGGGCUUAACUUGUAGACUGCAGUUGAAACUGGUUUUCUUGAGUGAAGUAGAGGU